rnacentral:lncRNA from 1 species
GACUGUGUAACCAGUGAGAUGCAGUGAUUGCAGUACCCCUGCAGUGCCACCUCAACUGUAUACAGUGUCCCUGCAGUGGUUGCAGUGCUGCCUGCAUUGUCCAGGAAUACAGAUGCCGUGCCCAGGCAGUGGAUGCAGUGUCACAUAUGUUGGAUGCCAUAUGUUUUGACAGAGGAUGCAGUGCCCAUGGAGUUGCAUGCAGUGAUCCUGCAAUCGUUUCUGUGCACAAUGCAGUGUCCCUGAAUAUGGAUGCAGUGAACAAGCAGUGGAUGCACUGAAUAUUCAGUGAUUGCAGUGCACCUGCAGUGCCAGUUCAGCUGAAUGCAGUGUUGCUGCAGUGGUUGCAGAGCCCACUGCAGUGUCUUGAAUGUGGAUGCAGGGCGCAUGCAGCCUCUGCAGUGUGACCCAAGGUGGAUGCAGUAUGUUGUGAAGUAGGAUGCAGUCCCCAUGAAGGAGGAUGCAGUGAUUCUGCAUUCAUUGCAGUGCACCUGCUGUGUGAAUUCAUCUGGAUGCAGUGUCUCUGAAUGUGGAUUCAGUGCUCAUGCAGUGAUGAUGUAUGUUGUCAUGGAGGAUGCAGUGCCCAAGAAGGUGUAUGUCGUGAUCCUGCACUUGUUGCAGUGCAACCUUCAGGUUCCAUGAAUGUGGAUGCAGUGCCCAUGCAGUGGAUGCAGUGUCCCACAAGGUGGAUGCCUUAUGUUGUAAUGGAGGAUUGAGUGAUCAUGAAGGAGGAUGCAGUGAUCCUGCAGUCAUUGCAGUGCACAUGCAGUGCCACAUCACCUCGUUGCAGUGCCCCGUACUGUGCCACUGAAUGUGAAUGCAGUGCCCAUGCAGUAGUUGCAGUGUCCCACAAGGUGGAUGUGGUAUGUUUUGAUGGGAGAUGCAUUGCCCACGAAGAUGGAUGCAGUGAUCCUGUGGUGAAUGCCUUGUGCCUGCAAUGUGACUUCCACUGUAUGCAGUGUCCCCAUAGUGGAUGCAGUGCCGACUGCAUUGUCCGAGACAUGGAUGCAGUGCCCAAGCAGUGGUUGCAGAGUCCCACAAGGUGGAUACAGUAUGUUAGGAGGGAUGAUGCAGUUCUGAUGGCGGUGGAUGCAGUGUUCCUGCAUUGCUUGCAGUGCCCACUGGGUUGUCCGGGAAUGUGGAUGCAGUAGUCGUGCAGUGGAUGCAGUGUCCCACAAGCUGGAUACAGUGUGUUGUGAUGGAGGAUGCAGGGUCAAUGAAUGUGGAGGCAGUGAUGCUGCAGUGGUUGCAGUGCCCCCGAAGUUUCCCUGAAUGUGGAUGGAGUGCCCAUGCGGUAGUUGAAGUGUCCCACAAGGUGGAUGUCGUAUGUUGUGAUGAAAGAUGCAGUGCCCAUGAAGUUGGAUGCAGUGAGCCUGUGCUGAAUGCAGUGCACCUGCAGUGAGAUUUCAGCUGUAUGUAGUGUACCUGCCAUGGUUGCAGUGCACACUGCAUUGUCUGAGAAUGUGGAUGCACUGCCCACGCAUUGGAUGCAGUGUCCCACAAGGUGCAUGCAGUAUGUUGUGAUGGAGGAUUCAGUGAUGAUGAAGGAAGGAUGCAGUGAUCCUGCAGUCAUUGCAGUUCAACUGCAGUGCUGCUUCAUCUGUAUGCAGUGUCCCUGCAGUGGUUGCAGUGCACCCUGCUGUGUCCCUGAAUGUGGAUGCAGUGAUCAUGCAGUGGAUGCAGUGAUCAUGCAGUAGAUGCAGUAAUCCUGCAUUGUUUGAAGUGCCACCCUCUGUUUCCCUGAAGGUGAAUGCAGUGCCCAUGCAGAGGAUGCAGUGUAUCUAAAGGUUUAUGCUGUACGUUUUAACGGAGGAUGCAGUGUCCAUGAAGGUGGAUGCAGUGUCUCUGCAGUGGUUGCAGUGCCCCCAUCAUUGUCCUGGAAUGUGGAAGCAAUGGUCAUGCGGUGGACGCAGUUUCUCACAAGGUGGAUGCUUAUGUUUUAACAGAGGAUGCAGUGCCAAUGAAGGUGGAUGCAUUGAAUCUACAGUGGGUGCAGUGCUCCCUACAGAUUCCCUAAAUGUGGAUGCGGUGGCCAUGCAGUUCAUGCUGUGUCCCACAAGUCGGAUGCAGUAUGUUGUGAUGGAGGAUGCAGUGCCCAUGAACGUGGAUGCAGUGAUGCUGCAGUGGUUGCAGUGCCCCCUACAGUUCCCUGAAUUUGGAUGCAGUGCCCAUGCAGUAGUUGCAUUGUCCCACAAGAUGGAUGUCAUAUGUUGUGAUUGAAGAUGCAGAGAGCACAGAAGUGGAUGCAGUGAGCCUGUGCUGAAUGCAGUGUGCCUGCAGUGUGACUUCAGCUGUAUGCAG